CUUCACCGAACCCAGCCACAGCGGCCGCCCGCCCGGCCGCUGCUGCCCAUAGGUGGCGAGCAGUGCCUGGGCCUC
rnacentral:antisense_RNA from 1 species